UGGAUCAUUAUGGCAAACUAGUGUGAGGAGCCGGUAUAUAAGGGUUAUGAAACCCUAACCCUAGUCUUAUUGUUCAGCCGUCACCUCCCCUUUGUGACUCUCACCAGAGCCACCUCCCCACCGCCACCUUCCACCCCGUCGUUUUCCAACCGCCGAGCACCAUCGAUUGUUGUUGAUAACCUCCUGAGUUGAAAGCGCAGCUGCAUCAGCGAAGAUCAAAGGCGUGGCAUCGUGGUGGUCGCCAUUCGUGCUCCUCCCUCACCUUCUUUCCUACGCCGCCAGUCAUCGAAGAUGCGCCCAUCGUCGGACGUUGUGACCUCUCUUGCCUGAAAAGCGGGCUAUAGAGGAGCCACUUUCGCCAUCUCUUUGUCUUCACUUCUUUGCUGUAACUACCGCCUGCCGCCUUUGUUGCUGCUUGCGUUGGAACCAACGGAAAUCGCCGCCACCGCCACCUCACGGUCGUGGCUGCCAUCUCAGAAUUGUUGUUGUCGUUGCCAGGAGCCACCAGGUGCUUUGUUUCAAAGGAAAGGAGUCGGCUUGAUCGCAGCGCAUCACACUAUGUUUUCCGCACAUGAGAUCUUUGGGGAUUACACUCUGAUAUGGUUUUAUGAUAAUAUGUUUUGAUUACUAACACUUUGGUUUGACACGAGAUAUUACUAUGAAUGUUUUUAUACUGAUGGUUUUAUGUAAUAACUUAUUUAAAAA